ACGGGAGGCAGCAGUGGGGGAUAUUGGUCAAUGGGGGAAACCCUGAACCAGCGACGCCGCGUGAGGGAAGAAGGUCGUUAGAUUGUAAACCUCUGUCGUUAGGGAAGAAAAUGACGGUACCUAACAAGGAAGCACCGGCUAACUACGUGCCAGCAGCCGCGGUAAUACGUAGGGUGCAAGCGUUAUCCGGAAUCACUGGGUGUAAAGGGAGUGUAGGCGGGAAAGCAAGUUGAAUGUGAAAUCUAUCGGCUCAACCGGUAGGCUGCGUUCAAAACUGUUUUUCUUGAGUGAAGUAGAGGCAGGCAGAAUUCCUAGUGUAGCGGUGAAAUGCGCAGAUAUUAGGAGGAAUACCGGUGGCGAAGGCGGCCUGCUGGGCUUUUACUGACGCUGAGGCUCGAAAGUGUGGGGAGCAAACAGGAUUAGAUACCCUGGUA
rnacentral:rRNA from 1 species